UACGAAGGGGGCUAGCGUUGCUCGGAAUCACUGGGCGUAAAGGGCGCGUAGGCGGAUCUUUAAGUCGGGGGUGAAAGCCCAGGGCUCAACCCUGGAAUUGCCUUCGAUACUGGAGAUCUUGAGACCGGAAGAGGUAAGUGGAACUGCGAGUGUAGAGGUGAAAUUCGUAGAUAUUCGCAAGAACACCAGUGGCGAAGGCGGCUUACUGGACCGGAACUGACGCUGAGGCGCGAAAGCGUGGGGAGCAAACAGG
rnacentral:rRNA from 1 species